CGAACGGCAGCGAGGAGAAGCUUGCUUCUCUGUCGGCGAGUGGCGAACGGGUGAGUAUAGCACCGGAACGUGCCAAGUAGUGGGGGAUAACCAAACGAAAGUUUGGCUAAUACCGCGUAAGCUCCAAGGAGGAAAGUAGGGGACCUAAAUAAGGCCUUACGCUAUUUGAUCGGCCGAUGUCGGAUUAGCUAGUUGGUGGGGUAAUGGCUCACCAAGGCAAUGAUCCGUAGCGGGUCUGAGAGGACGAUCCGCCACACUGGGACUGAGACACGGCCCAGACUCCUACGGGAGGCAGCAGUGGGGAAUUUUGGACAAUGGGGGAAACCCUGAUCCAGCCAUGCCGCGUGUAUGAAGAAGGCCUUAGGGUUGUAAAGUACUUUUGUUAGGGAAGAAAAGCUAGUUUUUAAUAAAAAUUAGUGAUGACGGUACCUAAAGAAUAAGCACCGGCUAACUACGUGCCAGCAGCCGCGGUAAUACGUAGGGUGCAAGCGUUAAUCGGAAUUAUUGGGCGUAAAGCGAGUGCAGACGGUUACUUAAGCCAGAUGUGAAAUCCCCAAGCUUAACUUGGGACGUGCAUUUGGAACUGGGUGACUAGAGUGUGUCAGAGGGAGGUAGAAUUCCACAUGUAGCGGUGGAAUGCGUAGAGAUGUGGAGGAAUACCGAUGGCGAAGGCAGCCUCCUGGGAUAACACUGACGUUGAGGCUCGAAAGCGUGGGGAGCAAACAGGAUUA
rnacentral:rRNA from 1 species